rnacentral:rRNA from 1 species
UACGUAGGGUGCAAGCGUUAAUCGGAAUUACUGGGCGUAAAGCGUGCGCAGGCGGUGAUGUAAGACAGUUGUGAAAUCCCCGGGCUCAACCUGGGAACUGCAUCUGUGACUGCAUCGCUGGAGUGCGGCAGAGGGGGAUGGAAUUCCGCGUGUAGCAGUGAAAUGCGUAGAUAUGCGGAGGAACACCGAUGGCGAAGGCAGCCCCCUGGGCCAAUACUGACGCUCAGGCACGAAAGCGUGGGGAGCAAACAGG